rnacentral:rRNA from 1 species
ACGGAAGGCAGCAGUGAGGAAUAUUGGUCAAUGGGCGGAAGCCUGAACCAGCCAAGUCGCGUGAAGGAAGAAGGUAUUAUGUAUUGUAAACUUCUUUAGCAGCAGAGAAAUAAGGUGGACGUGUCCACUGAUGCUAGUAUGCUGAGAAUAAGCAUCGGCUAACUCCGUGCCAGCAGCCGCGGUAAUACGGAGGAUGCGAGCGUUAUCCGGAUUUAUUGGGUUUAAAGGGUGCGCAGGCGGUCUUUUAAGUCAGUGGUCAAAUCGUGGUGCUCAACGCCAUCCCGCCAUUGAUACUGGGAGACUUGAUUGCGGUUGAGGUAGGCGGAAUUCGUCGUGUAGCGGUGAAAUGCAUAGAUAUGACGAAGAACACCGAUUGCGUAGGCAGCUUACCAGGCCGUAAAUGACGCUCAUGCACGAAAGUGCGGGGAUCGAACAGGAUUAGAUACCCUGGUA